rnacentral:misc_RNA from 1 species
GCAAGUACUCAAUAUGUGUAAAUCAACCAAGAAAGUAGAACUUCACACAAUGUUCCCAGCAAAUUAGCUGGAAAAACUCCAAUAGUUAACGCUUAUACCAAAACACUGCAUUGCAGGAGACAAAACCCUGGAUUUGUGAGAUUUUUUACACACCAAAACAAUCACCAAAUCGCAGCAUCAGGGAUUUAAAGCUCGGUGGAGAAUAAAUCGAAUAUGCUCAGUUCAUGCAAUAUUUUAUCAGAAAUUUCAAGUUUUAUUGAUACAAGGAACAAUAAAGUUUUGUUUCAAUACCACUAUCAUGGUAUAACCUUUAAAAGGUUUGGAAACAAUUGUAUCCUCCACAGUUUAGACACUGACAAAUGAAGGAUUCCUUUUAAUAAUCCGAAAUUUAAGUUGGUUUGUUAGCUCCAUGCUUGCAUGGAAUUUGUUGGUUUUGGUUCUUCAACUCAUCUCCAGCCACUAGAAAGAAUGCAGUGUGCCUGAAAAAGUUCAUCAUUUUGAUUUUUGAGUCUUCAUCAAUAUCUUGGGUGCUAUCCAAUGCCUUCUGCAUGUGAUGCAACCACCUCUCUGCAGCUUGGUGUGUGACAGGAAAUGGUCUGUGACGUCCGAUUAGUGCAGGAUGGCCUACCAAGAGUCACAGGGGACAAAUGAUUACUAGACCCUGGUUUUACAUGUUAUAAAGCAAGUGGGGAGUGGUACCAGAACAUUCAAAUUAAAUGAACAUAAACUGUAUUCUGUUGUUCAUUAUUGAGAGGAAGAAACUGAUGAAAUGAAGCAUCAAACAUGCAUUAGGCCAUUACAAAGGUUAUCUAAGCUAACAAUGUCAUACUAUUAUUAGCAUAUAAAAAUUUAGAAAACAUCAAUCAACUUAGAUAAAAUAAGUUUGCAACUAAUCCAUAUUAAGCACUGAAUCACCAAAGUAAUUCUGAUUACAAAUUCACACAUCAGCUUCCAUAACAGGACCAGAAAAAUUGCUGCUAUUUUAUUAUUUAUAGCAAUAGAUAUAUUCCCUUCUAUUAUUACAUUCCAGAUAAUCAAUCCUUGGCUUGGAAGUGAGAACUAAUUUUACCAACUAUAAGAAGCUAAAUAUGAAUUCAUCCACCAAUUAAAUCAUGGAAGUGUUUUUGUUUCAGGAACCACAUAUGCAAGAAGUUUGAUUUGAGCCCAUUUAUAUGUGCUGCUGGUGCACUAGUGUCAGCAAACAAAAUUGAAUCAAAUCUAGAAAAUUGGCAUGGUAGGGAAGAUUGCUAACCUUUCCUCUGAGAAUAAAGAGGUGGUCCUCCCAUUCUCUGAACAAAGAACUCAUAUUGAUUCUGGAUCGCUUCUUCUUUCUUCGAGUUCGCGAAAAUCGACUUAAACCACUCUUCCUCAUCAUCAUAUAUCCUGUUGUAGAAAUUGGUAGAUAGAUUGAUGAAGGUUUGGAGGCCGAGUUUCUGAAACAAAUUGGUGGUGUCAAUGGCGAAGGCGUCCGCCUGGUCAACUCCGCUCCACUGUGAGGCCUUUUCUUGCAGAGACUGCAUAUUUGGAAAUGGGUAGGAGGUGGAACGUAGUGGAAGACUGGCCCUGCAGGCUAUAAUUAGUACGCGCAGGGAUUCGAUUUGAUUGGCGUUUAGAGGUUGGAAAAACUGUGGGCUUUUGCUGGGGGC